AAGUGGUGGCUUAACUGAGUGGUUAACUGAAGAAGAAGACGACAACAGCACAUGGUCGGAUGAGAGCAUGAGGAGCAGGAGCUUGUUUCUUUGAAGAGAGCGCAUACCCUUCAUGGAAAGUCAGUAACGUUACUGUGGAGUACAACCAAGUCGCAAGCAAAAACCUCAAGCAAGAAUUGUUCUCAUCCCUUGCUAAACAUGGUUUUUGAAGAUUUUGAAUGAAAGAAAAGUUUAAAAGCUCUCUUGAGUAUCUAAUAAACAUCACUGAUGUCAGUGCUCGGUGGACGGUAGUUCUCCAUGGUCUUGCUAUCCUUCUUGCGGAAGACACUACAGACUUCCUGAAAACAAACAUGGACUGUGAUGGUGACCCACCUCAACUAUCAAUAGGAAUUCUCAGUCUGGUGCCGGAGGACAGACACAUUUCUCCACAUGGUUUACAGCAAUUAUUUGGUAGGGUGUCACAGCCAUGGAUGGACUUGAGAAAGUAUCACAUGCCAUGUGUUUAGUUUUUGGACUGAUCGUUGUUUUAAAAAUGGAGUACCUCUUCACAGCUUAUUUUGAGUUGAUUCACAGGGUUUUUCUUUCCCUGGGGCACAAAUCACUAAAGUCAAAACUGCCAUCACUACAAAACAUACUAAUGUGAAGUAGUGUGUUUUGUGUGAAACAAGUCCGUGUUACUGUAGAUUUGUUACAUUUUGGGGAUUUUAUUUUUCGUCAACCUGGAUACAAGUUCCAGAAAAACUCAACUUUAAUUGCUGCAAAACUUUGAUGUUUUAGUUAAGCUGUAUUUUGCGUGUUUCUGAUGGCAGAAACAAGAUUGUUACUGUAGGUCUGUUGAUGCAAUUUGUGAUUUUUUAUCAGUCACAUGCCAACCUGGAUACAAAACCAAAACUGCAGUCACUAAAAAAAAACUAGUUUUGAAUUUGUUUGUCAAGGUGUGUUCAUUGUGUUUGUAAUAACAGAAACAAGACUGUCUUAGGUCUAUUGUUGCAUUUUGGGUAUCCAGAUUGAUGGGUGACUGAACACAAACCCCUUUCUUGUGUGUGUGUGUGUGUGUGUGUGUGUGUGUGUGUGUGUGUGUGUGUGUGUGUGUGUGUGUGUGUGUGUGUGUGUGUGUGUGUGUGUGUGUGUGUAAAUGUUUUACUUUGUACACUGUUAACAUGUUUAAAAUAAAUGUUUUAACCUCA